AGAGCUCUAGUUCCUAGAGGUCAGGUGACAGCGCAAGCAAGGCCUGUUGGGAAGGGGCACAGGUUAUAAGUGAAACCUGUUGCAUAGAACAGCGAGACAGGCAGGGGGAGCAGUGUGUCUGGGAGUUUCUUCAGCCCUCAGUCUAGGGAAGGGGGCUGGGAAAGGAGCCAGGGAUGGGCUGCGUCCAGAGGCCUAGAAAAGGCCAGAGAAUAGAAAUGAAGCAAAAUGCAGCUGGAGAAGCAGUGGAGCGUGAACUCAAGGUGGAUAUGGAAUGAGGAUACUGUCAUCUCUCAAAUCUUUCUGGACAUGAACCCCAGACCCUUUUUUGGCCUCUUCAGAGUUUCCUGUAUUUCUCCACCUUUGGGUUGGCUGGCUAUGGGCCUGCAUUUUGCUGCAGUUUUUCCUGGCCUACAGACUCUCUAAAGAUACUACAGUAUGUCAAGCAACACUUCAAAAAAGAGAAAAGAAAUUUCUCUUUACCUCAGAGUCUGUUGCAGAAGGAC